GUGGGGAAUUUUGGACAAUGGGCGCAAGCCUGAUCCAGCAAUGCCGCGUGCAGGAAGAAGGCCUUCGGGUUGUAAACUGCUUUUGUACGGAACGAAACGGUCCUGGCUAAUACCCGGGGCUAAUGACGGUACCGUAAGAAUAAGCACCGGCUAACUACGUGCCAGCAGCCGCGGUACUACGUAGGGUGCGAGCGUUAAUCGGAAUUACUGGGCGUAAAGCGUGCGCAGGCGGUGCUGUAAGACAGGCGUGAAAUCCCCGGGCUCAACCUGGGAAUUGCGCUUGUGACUGCAGUGCUGGAGUGCGGCAGAGGGGGAUGGAAUUCCGCGUGUAGCAGUGAAAUGCGUAGAUAUGCGGAGGAACACCGAUGGCGAAGGCAAUCCCCUGGGCCUGCACUGACGCUCAUGCACGAAAGCGUGGGGAGCAAACAGGAUUAGAUACCCGAGUAGUCC
rnacentral:rRNA from 1 species